AGUGAACGCUGGCGGUAGGCCUAACACAUGCAAGUCGAACGGCAGCACAGUAAGAGCUUGCUCUUACGGGUGGCGAGUGGCGGACGGGUGAGGAAUACAUCGGAAUCUACUUUUUCGUGGGGGAUAACGUAGGGAAACUUACGCUAAUACCGCAUACGACCUACGGGUGAAAGCAGGGGAUCUUCGGACCUUGCGCGAUUGAAUGAGCCGAUGUCGGAUUAGCUAGUUGGCGGGGUAAAGGCCCACCAAGGCGACGAUCCGUAGCUGGUCUGAGAGGAUGAUCAGCCGCACUGGAACUGAGACACGGUCCAGACUCCUACGGGAGGCAGCAGUGGGGAAUAUUGGACAAUGGGCGCAAGCCUGAUCCAGCCAUGCCGCGUGGGUGAAGAAGGCCUUCGGGUUGUAAAGCCCUUUUGUUGGGAAAGAAAAGCAGCAGGUUAAUACCCCGCUGUUCUGACGGUACCCAAAGAAUAAGCACCGGCUAACUUCGUG
rnacentral:rRNA from 1 species